UGAUUAUUGAAUUUAUUAUCCAUUUCUGCACCAUCGAUAUAUUUUAAUUUGUACCACUAAAAUCACUCAGCAAUAUAACUAAAUUUUGGUAAAAAAAGGGAAUCUAGUAAAGCUCAAUAUGCUAGGUGGCUGUCACACAUGAGGAAGGUUUGAAACAUUCCAACCUCAAUCACUGUGGCAGUGUAAGCCUCCCAGCAAAGCCUGGAAGAAAACAAUAUAUUCAACCAAGCGAGUGAAAUUGGUUAUAAGCAUAUACAUUACGUUCAACCACUGAUACAAACUUAACCACCACCUGCACUACUACCAGUGACACUCGUUCAUAUGGCAUUAACAACACAUCUACCCACAUGAUAAGCAACAUUAUCAUCAUGUUUCCAAAAUUAACCUCAUCUAGAAUGGGAGAAUCAAAGUAUUGAAAAUGAAUGAGGCAUUUUCUUCUGACAUGUAUUCAGCACAACAACCUGCGCGUCUCUAGUCUCUCCAAUACGUCUCUAGUCUCUCCAAUAAAGAUUGCCAGAUGCUACAAUACAUUGAUAGAAGCAGAAAAUUGUCAAGUAGCAAAAUUAGACAAGCAUUAAAAUACAUCCAUUCAGGGAAUCUUCCUUGAAAUACAUUUUAACUUCACGGCGUUUCUGAUCAUGCAAAACAAAAACCGUACUGCAAAACUAUUGAGGAGAGCUUAUACAUUAUAUCGGCCUUUGGCAGAUCUUUCCCUUCUAGAAUCAUCCUGCAAUUACCAAAGACAGUAAGACCUACAAGAAGCAGCAAAUUUUCCUAGAAUCCGAUAGUACUGCAAAAUAAAGAUUACAUGGAAACUGUAUGUGAUCUUGUCAGUGACAUCAAUGAUCUCUUUCCACUUCUUGCCAAUGCUCAUCUACAUAUGCAAUUCAAAUCCAUCAUUCAAUUAAACCAAUGUAUAGAAGCAAAAUAAACAUAUCUAACCAAAGCACUUAAGGAAGAUAGACACCUACCCAAAAAAUCCAGCUUUUUAGUGGGAAACUACUUGUUAUGAGAAUUUAGCAUCUAGAAAAAGAAAAUAUGCCAUGUGGAAACUCUAUGAGCAACAAAGCAACCCAAGACAACAACAUAGGCUAGAAUCAAGUAACAGUUAUUUCCCCUGAACCAAAGUUAAAAGCUCAGACAGUAACAUAUCCAGCAACUUAAACAAAGGUGAUAAGAAAUGUCACAAAGAAAAAAGAGAGACGGAGGCAUAUAAUGGUACUUGGGCAUAAACAAAUAAGAACUAAUCUUGAAAACGAGGUUCUAGCAUCAGCAUGUCCAGCAACUCAUGUAAGGCAGAUAAAUAUGGUACGUGACCAAGUAAAACAAAGAGAUAGGGAAUACAAUGAUAUCCUACUAAUAACCAAAUAAAAAAUAAUCCUAAGAAUAAUUGCAAAUGAUAAAUGGGGGAAAAAAGAAAGAGCAAAUAAGAGGGAGAUUCAAAAAGUGAAAGAAGUGCCAGGUUCUAUGGAAGUCAGCAAUAUGAUUAAAUCAAGUAUGAUAGCGGUCACCAUGCAUUUGUAAACCUUUGCAAGAACCAGAACAACAUAUAAGCUCUGUCAUCACAUUAAAUUCUAGAUUCCCAUCCUCAUGCAAACACCAUCAAUUUAUAGAAUUCGAAUUGUACUUUAUGGUGAAAACUCAUUUUAUUAAAGGGAGUCAGAGAUUUUUUUUUUUUCAUCAUACCAACAUGACAAUAAUCACAUUUUCCCCCUUCCUUGAAAUUAGGGAUGUACUAAAAAGACUGUCAGUAGGGGGGCUUUGGAAUUAUAACAACAGAAAGCAGCUAGGAUUGAGAUUUGAUGAAGAGCAAUUGCAGAAAAUAGUAUGUGCAGUAGGGUGUACAGAAAAGUACAGCAGAACACGCCCCCAGUGUGUGUGUUCCUCUCUCCAGCAGCAGGCAGCAGUGAUUUUUUGGGUCCAAAAAACGUCUCCUGCAAUCCUAAUUCAUUUAGGACUUCCUAUUUUAGCAAGGGGCAGCUGCGGGAGUUAUUUUAAAAUUAAUUUAGGAAGCUUUCCAACUUUAUUUAGGAUUUUAUUUUAGUUUUCCCAUUCUAUUUAGGAUUAGUUAUUUGAGUUUCCUGUUCUAAUUGAGUUUAGUUUUUCUUAUUUAAUUUAGGAUUCCUAUUUCUUUUGGUGUAUCUAAACUUCCUAGUUAGGUAGGAUUUAUAUUUUCCUAGUUAG
rnacentral:misc_RNA from 1 species